UACGGGGGGGGCAAGCGUUGUUCGGAAUUACUGGGCGUAAAGGGCUCGUAGGCGGCCAACUAAGUCAGACGUGAAAUCCCUCGGCUUAACCGGGGAACUGCGUCUGAUACUGGAUGGCUUGAGAUUGGGAGAGGGAUGCGGAAUUCCAGGUGUAGCGGUGAAAUGCGUAGAUAUCUGGAGGACCACCGGUGGCGAAGGCGGCAUCCUGGACCAACACUGACGCUGAGGGAGCGAAAGCCAGGGGAGCAAACGGG
rnacentral:rRNA from 1 species